UGAAGGUGAAAUGGCCAGGGAAUGACUUGAGUUACUUCCAACAUGUUCAAAUAGGGUCUAUUCAUCAUUCAAAACGUUAAUCUUGAAGGAGCAAAAGUUUGUUCAUGAGCUGUCAUGCUCGCUAGGCGAGCAGAAUGGGUCGCCUAGCGAGUCCCAAGAAAAGCCACCAGAAUCACCUGCGCUCAGAGGAAUUUCUUGAACUGUCAUGCUCGCUAGGCGAAGCCCACGCGUUUCGAAAAAAAAAACGAAAAAAAAAAAAAAAUAAAUAAAUAAAUAAAUAAAAAAAAUAUAACAGAAAAAUCUUGGACUUGGACCUCUC
rnacentral:lncRNA from 1 species